rnacentral:rRNA from 1 species
CACAUCGCGCUAUAAUGCAGUCGAGCGACAGAUAAGGAGCUUGCUCCUUUGACGUUAGCGGCGGACGGGUGAGUAACACGUGGGUAACCUACCUAUAAGACUGGGAUAACUUCGGGAAACCGGAGCUAAUACCGGAUAACAUUUGGAACCGCAUGGUUCUAAAGUGAAAGAUGGUUUUGCUAUCACUUAUAGAUGGACCCGCGCCGUAUUAGCUAGUUGGUAAGGUAACGGCUUACCAAGGCGACGAUACGUAGCCGACCUGAGAGGGUGAUCGGCCACACUGGAACUGAGACACGGUCCAGACUCCUACGGGAGGCAGCAGUAGGGAAUCUUCCGCAAUGGGCGAAAGCCUGACGGAGCAACGCCGCGUGAGUGAUGAAGGGUUUCGGCUCGUAAAACUCUGUUAUUAGGGAAGAACAAAUGUGUAAGUAACUGUGCACGUCUUGACGGUACCUAAUCAGAAAGCCACGGCUAACUACGUGCCAGCAGCCGCGGUAAUACGUAGGUGGCAAGCGUUAUCCGGAAUUAUUGGGCGUAAAGCGCGCGUAGGCGGUUUCUUAAGUCUGAUGUGAAAGCCCACGGCUCAACCGUGGAGGGUCAUUGGAAACUGGGAAACUUGAGUACAGAAGAGGAAAGUGGAAUUCCAUGUGUAGCGGUGAAAUGCGCAGAGAUAUGGAGGAACACCAGUGGCGAAGGCGACUUUCUGGUCUGUAACUGACGCUGAUGUGCGAAAGCGUGGGGAUCAAACAGGAUUAGAUACCCUGGUAGUCCACGCCGUAAACGAUGAGUGCUAAGUGUUAGGGGGUUUCCGCCCCUUAGUGCUGCAGCUAACGCAUUAAGCACUCCGCCUGGGGAGUACGACCGCAAGGUUGAAACUCAAAGGAAUUGACGGGGACCCGCACAAGCGGUGGAGCAUGUGGUUUAAUUCGAAGCAACGCGAAGAACCUUACCAAAUCUUGACAUCCUUUGAAAACUCUAGAGAUAGAGCCUUCCCCUUCGGGGGACAAAGUGACAGGUGGUGCAUGGUUGUCGUCAGCUCGUGUCGUGAGAUGUUGGGUUAAGUCCCGCAACGAGCGCAACCCUUAAGCUUAGUUGCCAUCAUUAAGUUGGGCACUCUAGGUUGACUGCCGGUGACAAACCGGAGGAAGGUGGGGAUGACGUCAAAUCAUCAUGCCCCUUAUGAUUUGGGCUACACACGUGCUACAAUGGACAAUACAAAGGGCAGCUAAACCGCGAGGUCAUGCAAAUCCCAUAAAGUUGUUCUCAGUUCGGAUUGUAGUCUGCAACUCGACUACAUGAAGCUGGAAUCGCUAGUAAUCGUAGAUCAGCAUGCUACGGUGAAUACGUUCCCGGGUCUUGUACACACCGCCCGUCACACCACGAGAGUUUGUAACACCCGAAGCCGGUGGAGUAACCAUUUAUGGAGCUAGCCGUCGAAGUGAUCAAAGUU